GCCAAGAAAUAACUUAUCAAAAACCGCGUCCAAGACGCGGGUAUCUUGCGUCCACUGUGCGUCCACGGGCGCCCGCGUCCGUCUUGCGGGCGCCGUGCGUCCAUCGUGCGUCCACUCUGCGUCUGCGGGCGCUUGCGGGUGCGUCCACUGUGCGGGCGCCAUGCGUCCGCUUUGCGUCUGCGGGCGAGGACGCAGCUGAGAAAGAGUUCUAUUCGUAGAUCGUCGGAAAUUAUCGCGUUUCGCUUUUCAUAAACAAACCGUGGGCGUCGGAAAAUAUUCAUGUUAGCGAUUUCACACCACGUUUUUAUGCUUAUACACAAGCGUUACAGACCUAGAAUCCUAGAUAUUUAUAUUUCUAAUAUUAAACUUACCGUGAAAUUUCAGAAUUUGUGCUUCGUAAAGUUCCUUUUCGUAUUUGAUCUCUACUUUCGCACCUUCGUAUAACGUUUGGUUUAAACCCAGUAAUCUUUUAACGUUGCCGGUUGGCAAAAUGCACGUAUGGUUUUAUAUCUUCUUCGAAGAAACCCAAAAUACGUUUUGGUUGACAAGUAAGCGAUCGAUAUCUCAUUUUAUUAGUCUGAUAGUAAUACGGAUCGAGUGAUAUUAGUCUGAGCUCUUCACUUCAGCUUUAGCGAAUUAUACUGCAACUUUGAAAAUCAAGCGAUGAGUCACAGUCAUUGAACCGUGUUGAAACACAAAGACUGUUUCCUGGACAUGUAAAGGUAUUCCAUUAAGGGAUUAAGAGAAGUCAUUUAUCCAGAAAUUAUAUGGUAAUUAUCAAUUUAUAUGACAUAUCACCAUGUGCAUUUACUGCUUUGGAAAAACAACACAAACUUGUUGCUGUAAAUAAAAUUAUAUAGUGGCUCGUAGUAAUGGUAUUUUAUAUGAAAAAUCAAAAGCACUAUAUAUAUUGUAAAUGAGCAUCUUCGUUUUAAUAUUCUGACGAGUUACGGAGACAUAACAUUAUUCAAAUGCAGAAUUGCAUAUCAACUAAUCGGCAAUCUUCUACGAGGUAAGUCUGAAUUUGAGUAGCAAAUGAAUGUGUUGCGAGAUAUAUACUCGUUGUAGUCGUGAUCUCACUGAGUUUAGUAUAUGUGGCUACAUUAUAUUUAUAUAUAGUUUAUGUCUAUUUUACGCUCCAAUAUACAGUCAUAUACGCUUCAAUCGCGACUCAAGUACGUGUGAUUGCAUUGUAAAAGCACUACGCUUACUGUAGUAUAACGUAU